GAUCAUGGCUCAGGAUGAACGCUAGCUACAGGCUUAACACAUGCAAGUCGAGGGGCAGCAUGAACUUUGCUUGCUAAGUUUGAUGGCGACCGGCGCACGGGUGAGUAACACGUAUCCAACCUGCCGAUGACUCGGGGAUAGCCUUUCGAAAGAAAGAUUAAUACCCGAUGGCAUAGUUCUUCCGCAUGGUGGAACUAUUGAAGAAUUUCGGUCAUCGAUGGGGAUGCGUUCCA
rnacentral:rRNA from 1 species